UCUAUAUAUCUUUGUAUGCAUCUUUCUGUCUUCGUUGCAGAACAAAUUAAACCCACAAAACAAUCAAAAACCUCAUCACCAUGACCCUAUAUAUACAUGUGUGUGUAGUUACCCAAGCUAUGGUUAGUUUUUCCGGCCGCCGGCCACCGGUGGUUCUUUGUCAUUCUUAGCCGGACCACCACCGCCACCAAAGGGCAUGUUUGGUUUUUUGAGGUUGUGGGUGUGGUGUUGGAGCUAGGUGUAUAUAUACAUACAUAUACAAGAUUCUUUUUUUUUAUUUGUUAGGUUUUAAUUUGUUUUCCCACUCAUUCAAUUCUCAUUCUCUAAUAUAUAAUCUUCUUGAUCACUUUGUAUUUCUAGUUGAUUUCAUCCUCAAAGAAUAUAAUUAAUUUAGCCCACACUUUGCAAUUCUUUUAGUUUGCCCUAGCUACCUUCAUCAUAGUCCAUCUUCCUCAAAUGGUCAUUCAUGUGAAAACCUUGAUUUUUAGGGCAAACAUUUGAAUGUAUGUAUAUACCACACACACACACUUCCUUUGAUAUGAUGGGGGAAAGUGAUUAUUAAACUUGAGAUUUUUAUGUCAGACUACGAGGUUUUCGGCUAGGUAUAUGUAUACAUAUGUACGUAUAUGCCUGGCUCCCUGUAUGCCAUUUGCAGGGCUCACCGAGACGUCGAUGGCCUCGUUGAAUGGCGUAUGAGGAGCCAAGCAUAUUCCCAUCCCGUAUAUAUGUUAUGCAUAUACUUGACCUGUGCUACUCAAACAGUAUGACUUUACUUACAUUUUCACAUUUUGAAGCUUAUCUUUUGUAGCUAGUCACUGUUCAAGCUAGCUAGGUUUUGCUGUCAUGUUAUAUAUGCUUGGCUGCAGCAGUAAAGGAGAAGCAUAUAAUGCAACAUUUCUCUACUUCUUUCAGAUGGACUAGCCAGGCCGGACCUAUGUACAAUGAUCAUUUGUUACUGUGGUUUUAUUUGGCGGGGGAAGGACUAACUUUAUGCAGUGGAGCUGAGCAGCAGCAGGAGGUUUAUCAUAAAGCUAAACCCAUAAACAAAAAAAAAAAAAAAAAGGGAA